UGUAAUCCAUCUCCAUCUCAAUAAUGUGUCCAAUCAUAGUCUCUGAAGGUUCCAGGCCUUCCCGCAAAAAGUAACCUAUAACCUCAUCCAUCCGUUUUCUCAAAAUAGGAAAUCGUUGCAAUUCAUUAACCAUGCACCGAUGGCUCAUUUUUAUUAGCUCGUCGUAAAUAAAUCGUGCACACUGAAGACUUGGAUCUAACAGACGAGCUAUCUGUCUUCGGAUAAGAACUUCAAAUGGAACUUCUGGCACAAAUAAAGCAGAUUUAGGACCAGUUGCAUUUUGAAUGGCAGUUCGG
rnacentral:misc_RNA from 1 species